CCUACGGGAGGCAGCAGUCGAGAAUCAUUCACAAUGGGGGAAACCCUGAUGGCGCGACGCCGCGUGGGGGAAUGAAGGUCUGCGGAUUGUAAACCCCUGUCAUGGGGGAGCAAAUUAAAAAGAUAGUACCACAAGAGGAAGAGACGGCGAACUCAGUGCCAGCAGCCGCGGGAAGACAGAGGUCUCAAGCGUUGUUCGGAACCACUGGGCGUAAAGGGUGCGUAGGCUGUUUCGUAAGUCGUGUGUGAAAGGCGCGGGCUCACCCCGCGGACGGCACAUGAUACUGCGAGACUAGAGUACUGGAGGGGGAACCGGAAUUCUCGGUGUAGCCGU
rnacentral:rRNA from 1 species